CAAUAAUAAUAAUAAUAAUAAAGAAAAAGAACAAAAGAAAAAGAAAAAGGAGUCCCCCACCAAGAAUAUUUGGAUGAAAUUGAAACACCUUCCGAUUCCUCAAUUCAUCUUCUUCUUUCAACUUCUCCUCUAACCUUUUUGUCUUCAAUUUUCAUCCUCUCUCCAUUUUCAUAAUCAUAAAUCCUUACAUCCAACAAGAUCACGGACAACAUCUCUUCUCUUUCGGAAGAAUGGCUCGUGUUCGGAAUUUCAGUUCUCAAGGAGGAAUGGUUAACGAUGAUUACUGGGCCACCCUGAAUCGAUAUGAUGUUAAAAACCACCAUCAGAAUACAAGUAGGAGCAGUUAUUAUGAUUAUGGCUAUGGCUAUGGCAGCAACCAUUUUGAAUUUCUGGGGCAGUAUAAAAACCAGGUUGGUAGGUCUAUUUAUGCAAGACCUGAUAAUUUGAACUCCACCAAGCCUCAUAACUCACAGUCUUUUAAGAGGAGGAAGUUUUCUGCUUCACGUUGGGAGGAUAGUGGGAGGUAUCAUUGGCAGGGAAGGACAUAUGAUAAUGGACCUUCCAUCUAUAGCAAUUUGGUCCACCCUCCUCCAAGAUCCAACAAUGAUGUCUCUACAUCUGCCAGCUGUAAACGAGAUCGCAGAAUAAUGGAAGAUGAUGAGCCUUUUUUUAUGUCCAGAGAUGAGAUUGAGAGAUGUUCACCUUCAAGAAAAGAUGGUAUUGACACAAUACGUGAAACACAUCUGCGUUACACGUAUUGCGCCUUCCUUCAGAGCCUUGGUUUGCAGCUUGAGUUACCUCAGACUACCAUUGGCACUGCGAUGAUUCUAUGCCAUCGGUUUUUUGUUCGAAGAUCACAUGCUUGUCAUGAUAGAUUUUUGAUUGCCACAUCUGCACUCUUCCUUGCUGCAAAAUCAGAAGAGACACCACGUCCUUUGAACAACGUCUUGCGAGCUUCAUGUGAAAUUCUGCACAAACAGGAUUUUAAUGUCUUAUCUUACAUGCUCCCAGUUGAUUGGUUUGAGCAAUAUCGUGAAAGAGUAACUGAGGCUGAGCAAUUGAUCUUGACAACUCUAAACUUUGAACUCAACGUGCAACAUCCCUAUGCUCCUCUUAUGUCUGUUCUUAAUAAGAUAGGUCUUUCACAGUCGAUCUUGGUGAAUCUUGCACUGAACUUGAUCAGUGAAGGAUUUGGGAUAUAUGGGUGCAAAGAACCUCAGUGGAAUGACAGAUUUCCUGACUUUUGGCGUUGAUUGUGACAUAAAAGAGGAUAAUGGUGAUCUUCUUUCCUUGAUCAAAAUGGUGUGUUACUUGUGUCAAUUGUUUUCUUGUUAGAGCGGGCUACCCUUGUACAUUUAUCCUACUAUGAAUUAUUGAUUCUUCUGGAAUGCGUAUAAUUUGCAGGAUCUAUGCACGAUUAGCAUGCUCGCCUAUUUGAUAUACUUAGCUGGCGGAUUGAUUUGCUGUUCAUGGAAACUUUUGUUUUACAAGUGAAGUAAUUUUAACCAUGAAUACACCUGAUCGGCUUGAUACUUGGUGUGAAUGAUUGCCAAGGAGCCUACUGCACCACUUUCUAUCUUUUCUUAACAAAAAAAAAAAAAAAAAUUCCAACCCUCCCUGGAGCGUCAAUUGUUUUUAUAACCUAGAGAAGCACUGCCAAUGAUCUUGUUUUCGCUCUUAUUUCACUAUGAUGGAUGGUCAAGUGAGUUGAGUUGAGUAGAGAAUUUUUUUUCUGAUCAACUUCUUUGGACGAGCUUCUAUUUAGCACAGAAUAAGUCACGAUAGGGAUUUAGUUUAUGAUACAAUUCUUCUCAGUCUUUCCUUCCAAGUUUCAAGAAUCAAGUGUACCUAUGACAUAAAUAACAUGUCAAAACGCCAAAGUGAGCUUAGCUCAAGUUACAUAAAGCAUCUAUCCUUGACUAAAAGGUUUGAGAUUUGAAUUUCCCUGCCCCAUGUUGAACUCAGAAAAAAUGAAAAAGAAAAAACAUGUCAAGUCACUGGGUUCUUGAUAUUCCAUUAGCACAAAUACAAGUAAGCCCCUGAGUUGAAAAUCUUAAUUUGUGCCAACUUAUGUUUGUAAGUUGUGUAUUUACUCACAUACUUUGUAGAUUACCAUUUGGUAUUUUCGUCAUUUUGAGUCAGAGAGGGUGGAACUCAUCUGUGGUGUUACUUUGACUGGUUCAAGACAGGCGGAUUUUGAUGAGGGAUAUGGGUUAUCUAAUUUCUUGAUAGGCAUGGAAUGCAAAUUGUAGAAAAUCACUAAAAAAUUAAAAUAAAAUGAUUAUGGAUCUUUCCCUCACACUAGGAGAAUAUAAAAUGUAUGCAUUCUUAUAUAAUUGCGAGUGAGCAGGCUAUUUUCCUUUACAGUGUAUGCCCCCUUCAUGUUCCAUUUUUUUCCCAUCCUUGAUUGUUAUAGAAUAUAUAACCGGAGCUUUUUAAACUUGUUUUUUUAAGAUGAUGUUUUUUCUCUGUCGUAUUUUCAUCACAAUGGAACCUGAAGUUUUGUAGUUUCACGUAAAUACUGACAUUAUUUUAUGACAUAAAAUAUAUUUUACACUGGGAUGGUUUGAUUUUGAAAUUUAUUUGCUGAUGUAUAUGGCUUUUUUUCCCUUCUCACAGGAGCUCUAUCUUUUCUUGUCCUUGCAUUUUCACUUAUAAGCUUUUGGUGUCCUCUUUCCCAUUUUGCUUUUGGUGUAUUUUUUAAAAAUUAUCAUUUAAAUACCUGCAUCUCUUGGCAAUUUUUGAAUGUUCAAGAAUCUAAUUUUUAAAAAGAAAAUUCUCUUAACAAUUGGCAUUCAACUGAUUUGUCUUCUCUGCGGUGCUCCUGUUGUCAAAUAAAUAUCUUUCUCUUGUUAUUUGUCAUUCUGGAUUUUGUAAGCUAUUAAAACUUUGAACUUAUUGUGAAAUUGUUUCAAUUUUCUUCAUUUUGUUUCUAUUGGAGGAUUGAACUCUUUUCUUUCUGUUUGGCUUUUAUUUUUAAUAGUUUAUUAUCUUAUUCAUGGCCUUUUUAAUGUAUGUUGUAUAAAUUUAGCACCGACCUAUAGUUGGAAAGAUGCAUGCUUGGCCUAUUUUAUCCUACACUAGCUAAGACUAUUGAAUGAAUCUGUAAUAUUUUCUUUUUUGGUUUUGAUGUAUCUAUUGACCAGUCAUUUUAUAUUUUGUGAUUUUAGGAAAUCCUGAAGGUGUAAAAUUUUGAAAUAUUCAGUGACAUCAAGGUUUUGCAUUCAAUUUGUUGGGCUUAGAAAUUUUAAAUUUAAUUCCACUCAGGUGAUGUUUGUUACAUUUUUUAUCAUGUUUAGAAUCACUAUCACCAAACAAAUAAAGUGUGAUCUGCAUGCACGUGUAAAGGUAGCUUUGUCCAUGUAAUUCCACCCUCUCUCGCCCGCCCACCAAAACAGAUAAAGAACCAUAUCCUACCCAAAGACUGAGCAAAAUUAUCUUCAAGGUACACACGUUACAAUAGAUGCAACUUCCUGUGUCCAGAGCUAGUUUUGUUUGUAGAAAUCCCACCCUCCCCAACCAGUCUAUGUUCCUAACUAAAAGAGGAACAAAACUGAUGUCCCAGCCUAAAGACUCGAACGAAUUACCUUUAGAAUCUAGUUAAGGUUCAAGCUUUACAAUAGAUGAAACUUUCCAUGAACCUGAGUUCUUACAAAUAGUACACAGACGAAACAACUCAUGCAGACAACCAGAAAAAUGUAAUGACCAGUACACUAUAUACUUAUAUACGUACAUGCAAUAUAUAAGUGUGUGGAAGAAUUAUAUUUUCUUCUGAUGUGUAUUUUGUACGACGGUGGGAAUUUUGGGUUGUAUCUGUAUGUGGGGUUAGCUUGCAUGCGUUCAAGCACGAUGAGAUGAGAGUGCUUGAUGACAUUCCAGUCCAGAUCAACAUUUACGUCGUUUAGAGCUGAAGAUGGUGGGUUGCUUUGAGAAGUUUGAUUGUUUGCGACUUUUAGUUUGGGUUGCAUUAGUCUCUGGAAUCAAAAGCCCCUGCUGCCAAAUUUACCUGGGAGUUUGAUGUAUUCUGUAUAUGGGGUAUAACAUAUGUCAUAUGAUAAUGAUACUAUCGGCAAUCUUCCAGACAUUCUUGGAAAUAUUCUACCUGAGUUGCUGCUUUUUAGUUGGCUAAGGAGCUCACUUUGGCUUCAGUUUAAGCCCCAGCAGAUAGCUGCUGGAGCUGCAUAUCUGUCUGCCAAGCUAUUGAAUAUGGACUUUGCUCCUUAUCAAAAUAUCUUGCAAGAGUUCCAAGCAACGCCAGCCAUUCUCCAAGAUGUGGCCCAGCAGUUGAUGGAGCUAUUCUGAAGAUGAAGCACACCCAGUGUAGUGAAACGAUGGGAAAUGAUAACAUGUUUGUGAUUCUUACGUCCAAGUCUUCAAUAGUUAAAUCCUGACAGUUGGUUUAGGUUAUAGUGUGACUAUGUUGGAAGGUUUAACAUGAAUGGUUCUUCAUUCCCUUCCCAUGUUCAAGACAGUGUUUUACAAGUUAAGUAGGAAGACACGUAUUCAUUUGGCGAACGGAAUCGGAUGGUUAUACAAAAAAGCCUCACUUCUGGUCUGCUCUCUCUCUUUCUCUCUCAUUGUCUCUUUUGACUUCUUCAUGUUUUUAAAGUAAUUCAACCGCACUUCUAUCAACAUGUGCAUAUUUCCUCGUAAAGAAAAGGGAUUAACGGAAGACAUAGCUCAAAUGAUUUAGACCUAUAUGUUUUACAGGAAAAAGACUAGAGGUUAGAAUCUUUCAUACGAGCAUAGUUCAUAAAUUAGAGGUUUGAAUCUUUGCUCUACAUGAUGUAAGUUAUAAUACUUGCUCUUUAUUGCAAUAGUAAUGAUUUCUUUAGUGUUGGAACAUAAGUACCAAUGAAUUGGAUAUCAUACAAAACAUGGAUGACUUUUA